CCCUUGCUUUUCUCUUCUCUCUCUCUUCCUUAUUUCUCUCUCCCUCUCGAAACUCUCUUUUCUCUUCAACAAGGAAGACCAACCCCAAAUCUUCAUUGUUCCAGCUUAACAACCUUACGAUUGUGUUCACCUUACCUCCACGAACACAACCAUACCAACCAAACUAAGAAUGGACGAGUUUUGACUCACCAACUUGGAAGGUCCGAACUCGGACGAGUUGAGUUCGACGUGUUUUCAACCGGGUCACGAUGUUUUAGGACUCGGGAAAGCCUCUACGCAACUCCCUAGGGUCCCUAGUCAAGGUUUGAGGAAGCUUUGAUGUGAAACAACUCGGUUUCGAGAAGUUCAAGUUUGACCCGUGCUUUUCGAGCCAAUUUCCAGCCAAACCACGGCGAAUUAGCCGGCAUGCAAGAUAUCAAUCUCUUCGUCUCGCUAAGUACUAUAACUCGUGCGAGAUACCAUUCUCUUCGUCUCUUCGAGAACUACAACUUUCGUUUUUGUUUCACUCGAUUUCGUUGAGUAACGAGGAAGUUGUGAACGUUUAAAGGUUGUGUAUUUUUCCAACCGAAUUUCGGCCUUCAUCUUCCUUUGGGUCCGGCGACCCAUAUGUUGGACUCGGGCCAGGCUUUUAAGCCCUACCCUUUCAAACCCAGGCCCUUGGGGCCGAGUAGAAGAAGGCCUUUGGCCCCUGACUCCAAACCCAAACCCUUAACCCUUUUUAAUUCUUUUGUUUUUAUGUUAUUUGUUAAAUUGAAGGCCUAAACCCCAAACCCAAUCCCUAAAGCCCUAAACCCUUUUAGUUUAGGCCCAGAACCCUUAAGUCCAACAUAUUAAACUAAUCCAACCUAAUAACCCUUAACCUAGAUGAAAUAUUUCGUUAGGGAAUAUCCCAUUUGUCAGAGAAUAUUUCGUCAUUCAGGGAAUAUUCAUCAUGUUGACUUUUGUUUUCUUUUCAGAAAUUUAAGCGGGACCCUUCUUAGGGUAAUUCGACGUCCUGAAUCUGUUUUUGACGUCUGUUUUCCCAAAUUCAAUUUUUAUAAUAUAGUUUUAUUAAUUGUACCUUUAUGUGCUUAAGGGCAAUUAUUAGUGGCAUUUCCAUUCGCUAGGUUGCGUGGCUCGUCAGCGGUGAAAUAUCUGUUUAGUAGCUAUGUUUACGCGUAUACAAGGAUUCUGGCAAAUCUCAUAAGAUGGUUACCUUCAGUGUCCUUGCAGAGCAUUUGAUUAAGACAUGUGUGGUUGAGAGGGGGCAGCUGUUGUAUUGGCAGCAAGAGAGGAUGACCCAGCAGCGAAAUUUGCAGCAGGGAAGGCAACACGUGGGUUGCUGCUAUGGGACCCACGGGAGUGAGGUAAGAAGAUGUCGAUAUGUCUCUAAUUCAUCCCAAAGGCCCUUAAGUUUUGUAAAAUAAGCCGAGACCGUCAUGGAACCUUGUGAGAGAGAUGUGAUGGACUUCUGAAGAUGAUAGAUUGUUGGUGCAUUCUUAUGUGAAAACUAAUUUUGAAAUCUUCCACACACCCUUUUAGACACUUUUGGCUUGAACAACUCCUUUAGAUAAAUCAGAUUCAACUGAUUGAGCAAACCAUGACAAAAUCAUACUAUUGCAUUGAUUUCAGAAAGCAAAUUCUUUUGGUUGACUUGUUGCUGAGGGGGGCUGAAUAGAGCCAUCGAUGAAGCCAAUUUUAUUCUUGGCUGUGAGAUAAAGGAUCAUGGAUUUACUCCAAGAUGGAUACUUGGGACCGUUCAAUUUUUCCGAAAUGAUCAUAUGAUCGGGGUUAUCUGAAUAAUGAACAUAGUAUGGACUUGAUGGAUCGAUGCCGAUACUGCAUUUGUUUUGAUUUUUCUGUGGUUGUGGCAAGGACGGAGCUAGAAAUUUCCUUUAGUGGGGGCAACCCGAAAAUCAAUUAAGAAAACCUUAUUAUAGUAUGGCUUAAUUAUAACCAAUAUGAAAAUAUGGAUGAUUUCAAAUGAUAAUGUAUUACAGUUCCAAUGUUACAAAAAUUUCAGGG